UGUAAGGUGUGUACGCCGGACAUGUCCGGUGUACAAACACAAACUUUGGCGUACAUAAUGGCGUACAUUUGUUUACAUAGACUAGUAAUUGUUCAAAUUCAACAAAGAUGGACCAAAUAGGUUUAUACUAAAAAGGUGUAUUUGGAACUUUUGCACAUCUACAUUUCCAAAAUUGGCGUACAGUUACAUGUUCCUGAAUCGAUGUCUGGCGUGCAAAAAGUUAACUUUCCAGACUGGUCGACAGGGGGUGUACGGAUUUUAAAUGGAAUAGCCCUUUACAUGGUUUGACUUUAGUUGGAUGAAUAACCACUUCCUUGUGUCGAUUCAAUACAUGUAUUGAUAUUUUCAUAAAGGGAAUAUUUUUAUAUUUAACAGACGAGUGUACUUGUCAUAAAAUUGAUAAAUGUCUACAUUUAAUCAUUUUUUAUAAAUAUACAUAUUUCAAUACCUGUUUCAUAGCUUUAAUUCUGUUCAGAAGAUUUGUUCCAUCAGUCACUAUCAUAUCUGCUGCAUUAUCAUCUUCUUUCAGUUUUAACAUUAAUCUUUUCGCAUCCAACAAUAGCUGCUCCAUCUUGAAUAAUCGAGGAAAAUGUCCGACUGUUUAAAAUUGCUUGUUUCUGUAAUAUCACACAACGUUUGUUCAAACCACGGGCACGGUUAAUAGCCGUGGUCAAACUUGACACACUUUUACGAACAAAGCACUUAUGAUGAACCAUAUGAUGGAUUUACAGUUGAUUAUGCAGCUAAAAACUUAACGUAAAUGAUAAAUCUUUAUACUACGAUAUAAUUUCACUCAGUAUUGGACUCCAU